GAUCCUGGCUCGGGAUGAACGCUGGCGGCGUGCUUAACACAUGCAAGUCGAACGAAGCACUCUAUUUGAUUUUCUUCGGAAAUGAAGAUUUUGUGACUGAGUGGCGGACGGGUGAGUAACGCGUGGGUAACCUGCCUCAUACAGGGGGAUAACAGUUGGAAACGACUGCUAAUACCGCAUAAGCGCACAGGAUUGCAUGAUCCGGUGUGAAAAACUCCGGUGGUAUGAGAUGGACCCGCGU
rnacentral:rRNA from 1 species